GGCGGGGCCCCGGCGGCUGCUGCCGAGCGGCCGCCAUGCGAUCAGGCAGUGCGCUGACCGGCCCGGCCGGCCGGCCCCUUCUGGGUCCUCCCUUUGCAGCCCGUGCGGGGCCGUCUCGGAGACCCCGCGCCGACGGCUGCUCAAACAUCAGGCUGGCCCCCAAGAGGACCCUUACCAAGUCCCCAGCUGGGGGCCCCGCGUAGACCUGGAGUGGACACGCCCCUCCUUCCCUUCAUGAUUCGUUUGUAGCGCAGUGGCG
rnacentral:lncRNA from 1 species